ensembl:snoRNA
GCCCAAUGAUGAGACCAAGGCGAAUGCGAGCCAAUUGAACGAGGGGGUUGGGUUCUCCCUUGUCUUGAUUGGCCUGUAAUCUUGGCAGUGUAGCGGAGAUUGGCUGCUCUGCUGUAAGGGCCGGCCUACAUUGACUUGGCCCCACCCACAUUUUUCUCCCACUAAAGCAACACGAUAGAGAACAGUGGGAGGGUGCUGACAGUGUGACUGUUAAUCUGAGGCAGGGAGAAACCCACCUCUCCUCCAUAUUCAGGAGUCCAUGAGCUCUUAUUUUGUUAAUCUGAGGGCU